GACGAACGCUGGCGGCGUGCUUAACACAUGCAAGUCGAACGGAAAGGCUCCUUUUGGGGUAUUCGAGUGGCGAACGGGUGAGUAACACGUUAGUAAACUGCCCUCUUCUUCUGGUUAACUUCAGGAAACUGGGGCUAAUACCGGCUAGGAAUCCUUGCUGCAUGGAGGGGGUUGGUAAGCUUCGGCGGCUUUGGAUGGAUUCGCGGCUUAUCAUCUUGUUGGUGGGGUAGUGGCGUACCAAGGCUUUGACGGGUUGCCGGCAUGAGCGGGCGACAGGCCACAUUGGGACUGAGAUACGGCCCAGACUCCUACGGGAGGCAGCAGUGUGGAAUAUUGCACAAGGGGCGGUGGACUGAUGCAGAAACGCCGCGGGCGGGAUGACAGCAUUCGGGUUGUAAAACGCGUUCAGCAGGGGCGAAGCUUGUGGUGACGGUACCUGGAGAAGAAGCACCGGCUAACUACGUG
rnacentral:rRNA from 1 species